UAUUUAUAGUUGGACCCGAAUUUUCAACACUGGGAUACAUUUCCUCUUCCUCAUUUUCCCCAGCCAGCAUCAGCUUUUGUGGGCACCCCACACAGUCAAGGAUGAUUAAGGUGUACCCCCUGCAGCCACGGGUAUAGCAAGAACUAAUGCUGGAUAUUAAGUUAGUUUUAGUGGAGAACAUGUCCAACAGCAGGACUUAACUAAGCCAGGGGCACUAUGUCAGUGAUGCCUGUUACUUGACAAAACACUGUUACUACAACCAGAAAUAUCUUUGAAUUUUAAAGGAGAUAUAAAUAAGAGUUAUUAUCCAUGUCAUGUGGUUUAGUAAGUAUACAAGAAUGCUGUUGUAGCUUUUGUUGGUUUGACAUACGUGUUACAAAAUAUCAGGGCAAGACAAUUUGCUGUUGUUGGGGCCCCCAGCGAUCUCAGGUGCCUAAAACCGGCUAUGACCUAGAUGGUUAUAAACAUAAUAUGGCUUGAUAAACUCUAACGUUUCUAACACGUUUAGUAAAAAAAAAAUACUCUUUAUAGAGUAGAAAGAGUACGCCCUGGCUACACCCUUGUAACCUUCCAAAACAGGGUGUAGAGCAGUAUUUUGGUUGGUUGUAGUUGUCACGUGUAGCGGAAGAGUUUCAUGUCUAGUUGCCUUGAGACUGACGAGUGAGAGUAGUAGCCGGUUUUCAGUUCUGCAGUAAACGUUGGGUUGUGUGAAUCGUUUGAAUAGAGUAUUUCGAAAUGGGAGUUAAAAUUCACGUGGAGUACUGUGGCUCCUGAGGUUAUGGGCCCCGCUAUCAGGAACUGGCCACAGCAGUUAAAAAGGUGCAUCCUGAUGCGGAGAUUUCUGGUGCAGUUGGGAGAACAAGCAAGUUUUUUUUUUUUUUUUUUUUUUUUUUUUUU